GUUGCUCUAAGUGAGGCCUAGUCCUCCCUCAAAUCCUUCCUAUCGCUACAUAAAUGCUGUGAUUAGAAGCAGGCUUCCCUUUCCUUUAGUCUCCAGAUCUUGUUGAUUCAUGGGACAUGGCGGGUGCUGGGAAGAAAUAUAUGGCAGCCUCUUACCAUCUCCAGGAAGUAUCUAGUUGGUGAAGUUUGAAGCGUACUCUGGGAAGAGCAGAAGCAGCUUGAGGAGCUUAAUCUCAUAGGAAAGAAGAGGGAUGAACAACUCUGGGUUACACAUCCAAGCAUCCUCCUCCUUUAGAAGACAAUUAAGCAGCAAAACAGAAACUCCUAUGGACCCGUUUUGUUUUCCUAAAAGAGUCAUUAUAGGUGCUUGGAAUUGCAAAUUAAUCAAGUCCUGAGUCUAGGUCCCUAGACACAGGAAGUCUAGACUUUUAUUCUCUUCCUCAAAUGUUAUUUUGUUCAUUAAAUAGACUCUAUCAGCCAUGUGCACAGUUGUAAACAAAAAGUCUCUGUUGAUUGCCCCCACCCACCCAUCCAAAAUUUGCUCUUUAAGUAUUCUGGAGCUCUGGAAUCUUUGUUAAAAUGCCCCCAAGUGGCCAUCUAUAGAUAGAUAUGCGAUUGUGACUUAUUCCUGUAAAAAACAAAUUAUCAUUAUUUGGACAAUAAUGAUCUGAAACAUUAUUUCUCACCCCCUCUAGGGGGGCAAAGUGAACAGUAUUCUCUUGCAAAUCUAGGAAGAAGCGUUGCUUGGGAAACAGACAUGAUUUGAGUGACACAGAAAAGAGGGGAAGUAGCAGAUCAUGAUCGGAGUGAACACUUGCCAAGGACCUGGCAGUUCCUGCCAACUUAUUUCCCACCAGUCACAUGAAGUCACCCAGAGAGAGAAAGAUGUAUUUGCCACACUUUUAAGGUUGUUUGCAUGACCAACUCUACUUGAGUAGAACGGGGCUAGCCAAGGUAGGGCUGGUUGUGUGAAGCUCCAGGAUUGCUCCCAGUCCUGCUGCUCCAUCCCCAGGUAGCCCUGAUUGCAAACCCAGGCUUACAGUGAGGUAGGAAGACAAGUACCCCAGUGCGGUUCACCUGGCUUCAUCACUUUGUUCUUUUAGAAGCCAGGUAAGGACUUUUUUGUUCACCCGGGUCUUUUAAAUUUUGGUUUUCAGUUUUGAUCUGAUUUUUAACUAAUUUUAAAAUGAGUUUUUGAGCUGCUUUGUAUUGUAUUUUUUAUUUUAUUUUCUUCUUUUUUUCUGUUAUGAUAUAAUGUGUUAUGUGUUUUAGUGU